rnacentral:lncRNA from 1 species
GCAGUCCGUGCCGCCACUUCUCUCCACCUCCGCCGCCUAGCCUUAGCAGGGCCCCCGAUUCAUCCUCCAGGGCCUCCGCGGCGGGGAAAUCGUCCCCCCCAGACCCCCGGCGACCACCUCAAAGCCUCAGCAGCACGGAGCGCGCCAGCCUGAGAGCCGCCAUUUUGGACUCGCUCCGCCUCCCGCUGGAUGGUCGCCGGGGCGAGGCAGCACUAGCCGAGUGCUGAGCGGGCCGAUGCGGAAGCUCCGCCCCGUUGUAGCAGAGCGAUGGUCCCGGUGUUGACUCUCGGGCCUGGAAGGAUGCAGGAAACCGCGGCGCGGGGCGCAGGUGAAGGAUGGGCCAGAGGAGGCAGGUGCCUGGGGCCUCCUCGGGCCACUCGCUCGGAGGGGACCCGGGAGGGGACCGUCAGCGGUUCGGGGGCCGAAGAAGGAGCCAGGAUGUGGGUGUUAGAGAGAAGUGAGAACCCGAGAGGCUGUAAGGGCUACCAGAUCUUAAGGAGCUGCAGGAAAUCAGGGUUUUGUGAUCAGUAGCUCGAUCAAUGGAGAAGGCAAUGGCACCCCGCUCCAGUACUCUUUCCUGGAAAAUCCCAUGGACGGAGGAGCCUGGUGGGCUGCAGUCCAUGGGGUCGCGAAGAGUCGGACACAACUGAGCGACUUCACUUUCACUUUUCACUUUUAUGCAUUGGAGAAGGAAAUGGCAGCCCCCUCCAGUGUUCCUGCCUGGAGAAUCCCAGGGAUGGGGUCACACAGAGUUGGACAUGACUGAAGUGACUUAGCAGCAGCAGCAGCAGCUCGAUCAAUAUUUUUAACUAUUGAGAAUACAUUUUUAAAAAUCUUUUAUUCUGUUCAUUUAUUUGGCUGAGCUGGGUCCUGACUGUGACGUGUGGGCUUCUCAUUGGGGUGGCUUCUCCUGUUGCGGAGUGCAGGCUCUAGGUGCCUGGGCUUCAGUAGUUGUGACUCUAGGGCUCUAGAGAGUGGGCUCAGUACUUGUGGCUCAUGGGCUCAGUUGCUUUUUGGAAUCUGGAAUCUUCCCGAACCAGGGAUUUUGCCUGCAUUGGCAGGCAAAUUGUUAUUCACUGUACAUGCCACCAGGGAAGUCCUGGGAAUACAUUUGCAAGCCAGACUAAUCCCACAUUUAAGCUAGAUUCAGCCUAUAGGAAGCCAGGCUGUACUGACUCACCUACUCAGUCUUUACCCAUUUUUGCUUUUUUCUUGUAAAAGCUUCUGGAGUGUUCCUUCCUCCCCUCCCCUCCCCUCCUCCCUAGGCUGUGUUCCUCUGUUCUUGCACCUAUCACAGUGCAUUUAGUAUUUGAGUUCAUGUGCCUCUCCAAUAAAUUGUGAGUUGCUCCGUGACUCUACCUUCUCCUUUUAGGGACCAUUCCAGAACUUUGAACAUAAUAUUCAUUUUUUUGAAGUCCCAGAAAACCAACAGAAUGGAAAAUAUGAUACUGCAGCUAAAUGACAACCUGCAGACAAUGAGCAAUAUAGUAGGCGGCAGGGUGCCUUUAUUUUUCUCCACCGACAGUUCUGUCCCCAAGAUUAUCAAGGACCUUCUGGAUGCUAAAUCUCUGGGACACUUUUCAGUCCUAUCCUUGCUUGACCAUUUUGUAGCCGUUUGAUAAUGUUGAACACUAUCUUAAUUUUGAAACUCUCUCUUCUGUUCCUUUAAUACUUCUGGAAACUCCUUUUACAUCUCUUAUAUCGCCUCUCUGUGUGUUUUAACCCCUUAAUCUUUUAUUUUGGACAUUUUCAAACCUACAGAAACACUGAAACAGAAGUACAAACACAGGUACACACAUCACCUAGAUUCACCAAUUGUAAAUAUUUUGCCACAUUUACUAUAUAUAUCUAUACAUGCACACAUGUAGAGCUUUUUUUUUUUUUUUUUUUUCAGAAGAGUUUGAAAGUAAAUUGCAAACAUCUUGACAUUUAACCCGGAAAUACUCCAGCAUGUAUCUCCCCAGAGAUGGACAUUCCCCUCUAUAACCGUGUCAUGGAUUCAGUUCUCCAGUUCUGGGGUGGAGAUUGACCUGCAG